GUGUCAGCCGCCGCGGUAAUACCGGCAGCCCGAGUGAUGGCCGAUCUUAUUGAGCCUAAAGCGUCCGUAGCUGGCCACGCAAGUUCAUCGGGAAAUCUGCGCGCUUAACGCGCAGGCGUCCGGUGGAAACUGCAUGGCUUGGGACCGGAAGACCAGAGGGGUACGUCCGGGGUAGGAGUGAAAUCCUGUAAUCCUGGACGGACCGCCGGUGGCGAAAGCGCCUCAGGAGAACGGAUCCGACAGUGAGGGACGAAAGCUAGGGUCUCGAACCGGAUUAGAAACCCCAGUAGUCC
rnacentral:rRNA from 1 species